rfam:Dipodomys ordii contig_23915, whole genome shotgun sequence.
GGUGGCUCAGGGGUAGAGCUCUUGCCUUGCAUGCAUGAGGCCCUGGGUUCGAUUCCUCAGCACCA